CGGACGGGUGAGUAAUGCUUGGGAAUCUGGCUUAUGGAGGGGGAUAACGACGGGAAACUGUCGCUAAUACCGCGUAAUAUCUUUGGAUUAAAGGGUGGGACUUUCGGGCCACCUGCCAUAAGAUGAGCCCAAGUGGGAUUAGGUAGUUGGUGGGGUAAAGGCCUACCAAGCCGACGAUCUCUAGCUGGUCUGAGAGGAUGACCAGCCACACUGGAACUGAGACACGGUCCAGACUCCUACGGGAGGCAGCAGUGGGGAAUAUUGCACAAUGGGGGGAACCCUGAUGCAGCCAUGCCGCGUGAAUGAAGAAGGCCUUCGGGUUGUAAAGUUCUUUCGGUGAUGAGGAAGGGUGAUGUUUUAAUAGAGCAUUACAUUGACGUUAGUCACAGAAGAAGCACCGGCUAACUCCGUGCCAGCAGCCGCGGUAAUACGGAGGGUGCGAGCGUUAAUCGGAAUGACUGGGCGUAAAGGGCACGCAGGCGGUGACUUAAGUGAGAUGUGAAAGCCCCGAGCUUAACUUGGGAAUUGCAUUUCAUACUGGGUCGCUAGAGUAUUUUAGGGAGGGGUAGAAUUCCACGUGUAGCGGUGAAAUGCGUAGAGAUGUGGAGGAAUACCGAAGGCGAAGGCAGCCCCUUGGGAAUAUACUGACGCUCAUGUGCGAAAGCGUGGGGAGCAAACAGGAUUAGAUACCCUGGUAGUCCACGCUGUAAACGCUGUCGAUUUGGGGAUUGGGCUUUGAGCUUGGUGCCCGUAGCUAACGUGAUAAAUCGACCGCCU
rnacentral:rRNA from 1 species